GACGGAGGAUGCAAGUGUUAUCCGGAAUCACUGGGCGUAAAGCGUCUGUAGGUGGUCAAAUAAGUCAACUGUUAAAUCUUGAGGCUCAACCUCAAAAUCGCAGUCGAAACUAUUAGACUAGAGUAUAGUAGGGGUAAAGGGAAUUUCCAGUGGAGCGGUGAAAUGCGUAGAGAUUGGAAAGAACACCGAUGGCGAAGGCACUUUACUGGGCUAUUACUGACACUGAGAGACGAAAGCUAGGGUAGCAAAUGGG
rnacentral:rRNA from 1 species